UAUGUAUGUGGUUAUAAAACAUUAUCAAAUCACCUUUCAAUCUUCCUAUUUAUAAGCUUUACAAAAUGAGUGCUUUAAAUUUCUUGCUGUAAGUCAUUAAGUGUCUGGCCAUUAAAUAAUUUUUAUGGCUCUUUUUAACACCCUCACCAACAUCCUUUAAAAAUAUGGGGACCAGAACAGCAGACUAUUGCAAUAACAAUCACACAGAGAUGCUCAUGCUUCCCAGCUGUACCCUGCAUGAAGCCUAUCUGAAUGUGCCAGGGUGAGUUCAGGGGGAGCUCUGCACAAAUUCUUCUUCUUGUCUCCGAGAAGGCAGUGGCCAGGUGGAGCAACUUGUGGACCAUUUUCGACCUAGGGGUGUCCUUCCUUAUCCUUCACUAACAGGCAGGAGGAGGAAGAGGAGGAGAAAGACAAGAAGGAGGAGGAGCAGAAGGUAUUACCUGGCAGUGGACCAGGCAUCUGCUGCAGACCAUGGAGAAUCCCACGCCAUUGCACAUGGCUAUUCCCAAAGGAGCUGAUGCCAUGAAGAGCACAUGCUGGAGCAAAGAUGUGAGAAGGAGGGAGGAGCAGGGAGAAGCUGCUGCAUUCUGUUUGUGACUGCCCACUGUGCUCAGCAUUGCUCAGGUGGCAGUCACUGGAGAGAAGGGGUGUCGCUG